rnacentral:rRNA from 1 species
GGUUAAGCGACUAAGCGUACACGGUGGAUGCCCUGGCAGUCAGAGGCGAUGAAGGACGUGCUAAUCUGCGAUAAGCGUCGGUAAGGUGAUAUGAACCGUUAUAACCGGCGAUUUCCGAAUGGGGAAACCCAGUGUGUUUCGACACACUAUCAUUAACUGAAUCCAUAGGUUAAUGAGGCGAACCGGGGGAACUGAAACAUCUAAGUACCCCGAGGAAAAGAAAUCAACCGAGAUUCCCCCAGUAGCGGCGAGCGAACGGGGAGCAGCCCAGAGCCUGAAUCAGUGUGUGUGUUAGUGGAAGCGUCUGGAAAGGCGCGCGAUACAGGGUGACAGCCCCGUACACAAAAAUGCACAUGCUGUGAGCUCGAUGAGUAGGGCGGGACACGUGGUAUCCUGUCUGAAUAUGGGGGGACCAUCCUCCAAGGCUAAAUACUCCUGACUGACCGAUAGUGAACCAGUACCGUGAGGGAAAGGCGAAAAGAACCCCGGCGAGGGGAGUGAAAAAGAACCUGAAACCGUGUACGUACAAGCAGUGGGAGCCUCUUUAUGGGGUGACUGCGUACCUUUUGUAUAAUGGGUCAGCGACUUAUAUUCUGUAGCAAGGUUAACCGAAUAGGGGAGCCGAAGGGAAACCGAGUCUUAACUGGGCGUUAAGUUGCAGGGUAUAGACCCGAAACCCGGUGAUCUAGCCAUGGGCAGGUUGAAGGUUGGGUAACACUAACUGGAGGACCGAACCGACUAAUGUUGAAAAAUUAGCGGAUGACUUGUGGCUGGGGGUGAAAGGCCAAUCAAACCGGGAGAUAGCUGGUUCUCCCCGAAAGCUAUUUAGGUAGCGCCUCGUGAAUUCAUCUCCGGGGGUAGAGCACUGUUUCGGCAAGGGGGUCAUCCCGACUUACCAACCCGAUGCAAACUGCGAAUACCGGAGAAUGUUAUCACGGGAGACACACGGCGGGUGCUAACGUCCGUCGUGAAGAGGGAAACAACCCAGACCGCCAGCUAAGGUCCCAAAGUCAUGGUUAAGUGGGAAACGAUGUGGGAAGGCCCAGACAGCCAGGAUGUUGGCUUAGAAGCAGCCAUCAUUUAAAGAAAGCGUAAUAGCUCACUGGUCGAGUCGGCCUGCGCGGAAGAUGUAACGGGGCUAAACCAUGCACCGAAGCUGCGGCAGCGACGCUUAUGCGUUGUUGGGUAGGGGAGCGUUCUGUAAGCCUGUGAAGGUGUGCUGUGAGGCAUGCUGGAGGUAUCAGAAGUGCGAAUGCUGACAUAAGUAACGAUAAAGCGGGUGAAAAGCCCGCUCGCCGGAAGACCAAGGGUUCCUGUCCAACGUUAAUCGGGGCAGGGUGAGUCGACCCCUAAGGCGAGGCCGAAAGGCGUAGUCGAUGGGAAACAGGUUAAUAUUCCUGUACUUGGUGUUACUGCGAAGGGGGGACGGAGAAGGCUAUGUUGGCCGGGCGACGGUUGUCCCGGUUUAAGCGUGUAGGCUGGUUUUCCAGGCAAAUCCGGAAAAUCAAGGCUGAGGCGUGAUGACGAGGCACUACGGUGCUGAAGCAACAAAUGCCCUGCUUCCAGGAAAAGCCUCUAAGCAUCAGGUAACAUCAAAUCGUACCCCAAACCGACACAGGUGGUCAGGUAGAGAAUACCAAGGCGCUUGAGAGAACUCGGGUGAAGGAACUAGGCAAAAUGGUGCCGUAACUUCGGGAGAAGGCACGCUGAUAUGUAGGUGAAGUCCCUCGCGGAUGGAGCUGAAAUCAGUCGAAGAUACCAGCUGGCUGCAACUGUUUAUUAAAAACACAGCACUGUGCAAACACGAAAGUGGACGUAUACGGUGUGACGCCUGCCCGGUGCCGGAAGGUUAAUUGAUGGGGUUAGCGGUAACGCGAAGCUCUUGAUCGAAGCCCCGGUAAACGGCGGCCGUAACUAUAACGGUCCUAAGGUAGCGAAAUUCCUUGUCGGGUAAGUUCCGACCUGCACGAAUGGCGUAAUGAUGGCCAGGCUGUCUCCACCCGAGACUCAGUGAAAUUGAACUCGCUGUGAAGAUGCAGUGUACCCGCGGCAAGACGGAAAGACCCCGUGAACCUUUACUAUAGCUUGACACUGAACAUUGAGCCUUGAUGUGUAGGAUAGGUGGGAGGCUUUGAAGUGUGGACGCCAGUCUGCAUGGAGCCGACCUUGAAAUACCACCCUUUAAUGUUUGAUGUUCUAACG